rnacentral:rRNA from 1 species
GAUGAACGCUGGCGGCGUGCCUAAUACAUGCAAGUCGAGCGAACGGACGAGAAGCUUGCUUCUCUGAUGUUAGCGGCGGACGGGUGAGUAACACGUGGAUAACCUACCUAUAAGACUGGGAUAACUUCGGGAAACCGGAGCUAAUACCGGAUAAUAUUUUGAACCGCAUGGUUCAAAAGUAAAAGACGGUCUUGCUGUCACUUAUAGAUGGAUCCGCGCUGCAUUAGCUAGUUGGUAAGGUAACGGCUUACCAAGGCAACGAUGCAUAGCCGACCUGAGAGGGUGAUCGGCCACACUGGAACUGAGACACGGUCCAGACUCCCACGGGAGGCAGCAGUAGGGAAUCUUCCGCAAUGGGCGAAAGCCUGACGGAGCAACGCCGCGUGAGUGAUGAAGGUCUUCGGAUCGUAAAACUCUGUUAUUAGGGAAGAACAUAUGUGUAAGUAACUGUGCACAUCUUGACGGUACCUAAUCAGAAAGCCACGGCUAACUACGUG